rnacentral:rRNA from 1 species
AACGAACGCUGGCGACAGGCUUAACACAUGCAAGUCGAACGGGUGUAGCAAUACAUCAGUGGCAGACGGGUGAGUAACACGUGGGAACCUUCCUAGGGGUACGGAACAACUCAGGGAAACUUGAGCUAAUACCGUAUACGUCCGUGAGGAGAAAGAUUUAUCGCCCUUAGACGGGCCCGCGUCGGAUUAGCUAGUUGGUGGGGUAACGGCCUACCAAGGCGACGAUCCGUAGCUGAUCUUAGAGGAUGAUCAGCCACACUGGGACUGAGACACGGCCCAGACUCCUACGGGAGGCAGCAGUGGGGAAUCUUGGACAAUGGGCGCAAGCCUGAUCCAGCCAUGCCGCGUGAGUGAAGAAGGUCUUCGGAUUGUAAAGCUCUUUUGCCAGGGACGAUAAUGACGGUACCUGGAGAAUAAGCCCCGG